ACCCGCUGAACUUAAGCAUAUCAAUAAGCGGAGGAAAAGAAACUAACAAGGAUUCCCCUAGUAACUGCGAGUGAAGCGGGAAAAGCUCAAAUUUAAAAUCUGGCGGUCCCUGUGGCCGUCCGAGUUGUAAUUUAGAGAAGUGUUAUCCGCGUUGGACCGUGUACAAGUCUCCUGGAAUGGAGCGUCAUAGAGGGUGAGAAUCCCGUCUUUGACACGGACUGCCAAGGCAUUGUGAUACGCUCUCAAAGAGUCGAGUUGUUUGGGAAUGCAGCUCAAAAUGGGUGGUAAAUUCCAUCUAAAGCUAAAUAUUGGGGAGAGACCGAUAGCGAACAAGUACCGUGAGGGAAAGAUGAAAAGAACUUUGGAAAGAGAGUUAAACAGUACGUGAAAUUGCUGAAAGGGAAACGCUUGAAGUCAGUCGCGUCGCUCAGGACUCAGCCUUGCUUUUGCUUGGUGUACUUCCUGUUCGAUGGGUCAGCAUCAAUUUUGGUCGGUGGAUAAAGGCUCAGAGAAUGUGGCAUCUUCGGGUGUGUUAUAGCUCUGGGUUGUAUACAUCGGCUGGGAUUGAGGAACUCAGCACGCCGCAAGGCCGGGUACUUGUACCACGUACGUGCUUAGGAUGCUGGCAUAAUGGCUUUAAUCGACCCGUCUUGAAACACGG
rnacentral:rRNA from 1 species